GCCUCCCCGACCAGCUGGUCAGCAAGUCGGUCACUCAGGGCUUCAGCUUCAACAUCCUCUGUGUGGGGGAGACCGGCAUUGGCAAAUCCACACUGAUGAACACACUCUUCAACACGACCUUCGAGACUGAGGAAGCCAGUCACCAUGAGGCAUGCGUACACCUGCGGCCCCAGACCUACGACCUCCAGGAGAGCAACGUGCAGCUCAAGCUGACCAUUGUGGAUGCCGUGGGCUUUGGGGAUCAGAUCAAUAAGGAUGAGAGUUACAGGCCCAUAGUUGACUACAUCGAUGCGCAGUUUGAAAAUUAUCUGCAGGAGGAGCUGAAGAUCCGCCGCUCGCUCUUCGACUACCAUGACACAAGGAUCCACGUUUGCCUCUACUUCAUCACGCCCACAGGGCACUCCCUGAAGUCUCUAGAUCUAGUGACCAUGAAGAAACUAGACAGCAAGGUGAACAUUAUUCCCAUCAUCGCCAAGGCUGACACCAUCUCCAAGAGCGAGCUCCACAAGUUCAAGAUCAAGAUCAUGGGCGAGUUGGUCAGCAACGGGGUCCAGAUCUACCAGUUUCCCACGGAUGACGAGGCUGUUGCAGAGAUUAACGCAGUCAUGAAUUGGAGAAUGAGAAUCACUGCGACUUCGUGAAGCUGCGGGAGAUGUUGAUCCGGGUGAACAUGGAAGACCUCCGCGAGCAGACCCACAGCCGGCACUACGAGCUCUACCGGCGCUGCAAGUUGGAGG
rnacentral:sRNA from 1 species